rnacentral:rRNA from 1 species
CGCUGUGAAGAUGCAGUGUACCCGCGGCAAGACGGAAAGACCCCGUGAACCUUUACUAUAGCUUGACACUGAACAUUGAGCCUUGAUGUGUAGGAUAGGUGGGAGGCUUUGAAGUGUGGACGCCAGUCUGCAUGGAGCCGACCUUGAAAUACCACCCUUUAAUGUUUGAUGUUCUAACGUUGACCCGUAAUCCGGGUUGCGGACAGUGUCUGGUGGGUAGUUUGACUGGGGCGGUCUCCUCCUAAAGAGUAACGGAGGAGCACGAAGGUUGGCUAAUCCUGGUCGGACAUCAGGAGGUUAGUGCAAUGGCAUAAGCCAGCUUGACUGCGAGCGUGACGGCGCGAGCAGGUGCGAAAGCAGGUCAUAGUGAUCCGGUGGUUCUGAAUGGAAGGGCCAUCGCUCAACGGAUAAAAGGUACUCCGGGGAUAACAGGCUGAUACCGCCCAAGAGUUCAUAUCGACGGCGGUGUUUGGCACCUCGAUGUCGGCUCAUCACAUCCUGGGGCUGAAGUAGGUCCCAAGGGUAUGGCUGUUCGCCAUUUAAAGUGGUACGCGAGCUGGGUUUAGAACGUCGUGAGACAGUUCGGUCCCUAUCUGCCGUGGGCGCUGGAGAACUGAGGGGGGCUGCUCCUAGUACGAGAGGACCGGAGUGGACGCAUCACUGGUGUUCGGGUUGUCAUGCCAAUGGCACUGCCCGGUAGCUAAAUGCGGAAGAGAUAAGUGCUGAAAGCAUCUAAGCACGAAACUUGCCCCGAGAUGAGUUCUCCCUGACUCCUUGAGAGUCCUGAAGGAACGUUGAAGACGACGACGUUGAUAGGCCGGGUGUGUAAGCGCAGCGAUGCGUUGAGCUAACCGGUACUAAUGAACCGUGAGG